rnacentral:rRNA from 1 species
GAUGAACGCUGGCGGCGUGCCUAAUACAUGCAAGUCGAGCGAACAGACGAGGAGCUUGCUCCUCUGACGUUAGCGGCGGACGGGUGAGUAACACGUGGAUAACCUACCUAUCAGACUGGGAUAACUUCGGGAAACCGGAGCUAAUACCGGAUAAUAUAUUGAACCGCAUGGUUCAAUAGUGAAAGACGGUUUUGCUGUCACUUAUAGAUGGAUCCGCGCCGCAUUAGCUAGUUGGUAAGGUAACCGCUUACCAAGGCAACGAUGCGUAGCCGAACUGAGAGGCUGAUCGGCCACCCGGGAACUGAGACACGGUCCAGACUCCUACGGGAGGCAGCAGUAGGGAAUCUUCCGCAAUGGGCGAAAGCUUGACGGAGCAACGCCGCGUGAGUGAUGAAGGUCUUCGGAUCGGAAAGCUCUGUUAUUAGGGAAGAACAACUGUGUAAGUAACCAUGCACGUCUUGACGGUACCUAAUCAGAAAGCAACGGCUAACUACGUG